UUUAAGUGGGCUUUAGUGUAAAGUGAGUGAAUGUUUUCUUCCUUCAGAUGAAGCCGACUCUGAUAUUACUGAUGGAAUCUACCUGGCUGGUUUCCGGCGGAGUUUCCGUCUCUGGCAGAGAACGUCCUUCAGGAAGAGACGGCAGUCAUGCACCUCGUGCUCGCCCAGCAGCGGCACCCUGUUCACUCCGUACGAGGAGGUGGCUCUGUACCAGCGCCCCCCGCAGGAGAACCACCGCCUCAUCAUCCUCGUCGGUGCUGCGAAAGUUGGAGUUAACGAACUGAGGAAAAGACUCAUCAAACUGAACCCUUCGACCUUCCAGGGACCCGUACCUCACACCUCUCGUC